GACGAACGCUGGCGGCGUGCUUAACACAUGCAAGUCGAACGGAAAGGCCCUGCUUUUGUGGGGUGCUCGAGUGGCGAACGGGUGAGUAACACGUGAGUAACCUGCCCUUGACUUUGGGAUAACUUCAGGAAACUGGGGCUAAUACCGGAUAGGAGCUCCUGCUGCAUGGUGGGGGUUGGAAAGUUUCGGCGGUUGUGGAUGGACUCGCGGCUUAUCAGCUUGUUGGUGGGGUAGUUGCAUACGAAGCCUUUGACGGGUAGCCGGCCUGAGAGGGUGAACGGGGACAUUGGGACUGAGAGACGGACCAGACGGCUACGGGAGGCAGCAGGGGGGAAUAUUGCACAAUGGGGGGAAGCCUGAGGCAGCAGCGCCGCGUGCGGGAUGACGGCCUUCGGGUUAUAAACCGCUUUCGCCUGUGACGAAGCGUGAGUGACGGUAAUGGGUAAAGAAGCACCGGCUAACUACGUG
rnacentral:rRNA from 1 species